rnacentral:rRNA from 1 species
UACGGAGGGGGGCUAGCGUUGUUCGGAAUUACUGGGCGUAAAGCGCACGUAGGCGGCUUUGUAAGUUAGAGGUGAAAGCCCAGGGCUUAACCCUGGAAUUGCCUUUAAGACUGCAUCGCUAGAAUUGUGGAAAGGUAAGUGGAAUUCCGAGUGUAGAGGUGAAAUUCGUAGAUAUUCGGAAGAACACCAGUGGCGAAGGCGACUUACUGGACACAUAUUGACGCUGAGGUGCGAAAGCGUGGGGAGCAAACAGG